rnacentral:lncRNA from 1 species
AGUAUGGCAAAGGUGACCAGUGAGCCACAGAAGCCUAAUGAAGAUGUGGACGAACAGACCCCAUCAACCUCAAGUACCAAAGGGAGGAAGAAGGGGAAGACACCCCGUCAACGAAGGUCCAGAAGCGGCGUUAAGGGCCUAAAGACCACCAGGAAGGCGAAAAGACCCCUUCGAGGGAGCUCGAGCCAAAAAGCCGGUGAAACUAACACCCCUGCAGGAAAACCUAAGAAAGCUAGAGGACCAAUACUGCGUGGUCGUUAUCACCGGCUGAAAGAAAAAAUGAAGAAAGAAGAGGCCGACAAAGAGCAAAGCGAGACCUCAGUUCUGUGAUGUCUCUAGAGGUCCGCCACUGAAAAGUCAUCAAUCAUACAGUCAGUGAAUUCUACACCAACAGGUUAAAACCAUGAAAAUAAAAUCAACCUGAAUCGAAA